ACCUGGGGAGGAACCACCCGACAUCUGCACCUGGGCACGAUCCCAGCCUGGGAAUGGCCCCAAACCCUGGAAUGGCCCCAAAUCCCGGAAUGGCCCCCAUGCCCACCCCAUAGACCCCUGAGCACCAAAGAAGGAAUCAGGAGUCAUCUUCUGUAGUUCCCAGAGGUUCUUUAUUUUAUCUUAUCUAAGAAGUUCUUUCCCUGACCCCUGUGAGCCGUUCAGCAGAUCAGUCCAAGCUAGCCGGGGUGGUUCCCCUAUUAGCCGUUAAGAGCUGAAGACAAAGGAACGGCUGGACCAGCCCCAGCCCGAUGGCUCCAUUAGGGAAAGGUGGAGUCCUGCUUUUGUCCUUCGGCGAGUAGGAGGACACUCGCAGCUCACCGGCGGAGGAGAGAGGUUGUUUCUUCUCCGUGUUUCUUCCCCGCUGGACUCGGACUGCAAAAGCUUCCUGCUUCUGAGAAACAACGCCGAGAACCCACUGGACACCCACGGUGAGCAAGUUCUUCCCUUCUCCCACCUGGGACAGAGCUGCCGCCUCGCUCCCCUGCUCCUGCAUGAGCCGCGACUGAGAGGC